GAGAGAGAGAGAGAGAGAGAGAGAGAGAGAGAGAGAGAAUGGGCAUACAUCAGCGUCUUGGUUAACAAAAGCAAGGUGGUCCAGUGUGCUAGAACAGGAGGUGCGGAUUGGACAAGGCAGCGUGGAACUAAGCCACUGGAAGGAGAAGCUCUGGAAUGUGGGUUGAGCUGGUCCAAUCCCUGGGAGAGAGGCAAGACAGAGAAACAGUGCUCUGUUGUUCAUCGUCGGACUCCUUUCUGGGACUUGGCUUGGAACAACGCUGCCUCGCUGUCACUUCCUAUCAGACCGAUUGGCUCUUGACUUCUCAGAGAUGCCUGAAUUCUGGGAGAGGAGCAGAGCCCUGCCUCAAGGGUGAGAACUACUGCUUUUAAGAAGCCCUCAGAACUCUCCUGGACCAGAAACACAGAAGCCAAUCAGUGGAUGAGGAGAGGAAGAAACCUCUAAGACAUCAUUCAGAGACUCUUGAAGACUUCCUUCUGUAUGCCAACACUCUGAAGAGCAUCAUUCACCACUGUCACUCCCACCCAAAAGAAACAAUUCCCAGUAUCUAUCUCUUUCAAAGCAAGAGAGAGAAGCCAGUAAGCUUCGCCGCACCCAAAGCCACACCUUGUGGCAAUGAAGCAAGCAGAUCUUAGAAGUGGUCACUGUCCUUGGAGUAAGAGACCUAUCUCCAGGACCUAUUCAUGUCUUCCAGGUAACAUAUACAUAUGUGUAUACACUCAUAAACUUGCACAUACCAACACACACACACACACAUAC
rnacentral:sRNA from 1 species